rnacentral:rRNA from 1 species
UCCGUAGGCGGGCUAAUAAGUCAGGGGUGAAAUCCCACAGCUUAACUGUGGAACUGCCUUUGAUACUGUUAGUCUUGAGUUAUAUGGAAGUAGAUAGAAUGUGUAGUGUAGCGGUGAAAUGCAUAGAUACUACACAGAAUACCGAUUGCGAAGGCAGUCUACUACGUAUAUACUGACGCUAAUGGACGAAAGCGUGGGGAGCGAACAGGAUUAGAUACCCUGGUAGUCC